AAAAAUGGCUCGAAGAACUGGGCAGGGUGGCGCUGAAGCUCUGGUUUACUUCAAAGCCUUGGAAAAUGUUUACCUCGCCCUCUGACCUAUUUAUUAAGUGGCCAAACAGUGCGGGGGAAUCCGCGGUUAAGGUUUAUGUACUUGUCAUUUCGGCACGUAUUUGCAAAGUAGUCUAUAAGUUCGGCGAAAGAGAGCGGACGUUUGGCUGGAUUGUGACCGAGCGGGGAGCGCGUCCGCCGGGCGGGCUGGUGUCGGGCAGUCGCUGCACUUCCACUAACUGCGCCACUCGACCUCGACUCAAACAUUUGCUCUUUGCAGACUGCUUCUAAGCGCUCUACUCUGACACACGCUUCUCAAUAGCGUUUCUUUCCGCUGUAUUUGCCUUCUUUUCAACUCUUUUCUCGCUGACAUUGACUGUCAAAGGCGAGAAUUACAUUUUUAUCUACGUUUCACCAUCGCGGAAGUGUUUUCUCUACUCGAAAAAGAGACGGAGAACAACUAACCACAGUCCAUGUAAUUUGUCCGGUGUUUGCGAAAACGUCGUUACAUCUAUUUUGCAUGUUCUCGCUGUAUUUGACAAUUGUUGUUGCGUAGGCUAUUAUGUUACUACACAGUGUUUUACAUUGCCAGCUGGUUGUAAAGGACAUAGGGUUUGUGAUUGCUGGACUACCCGUGAUGUCAUUCAUCCUAGCUUGGACCAUUAUAUAACGGGACUGUAGGGAAGCCUGUGAUAGCAGGCUAUUUUUACUCUGUUUACACCUCGGAGUUGCACUCACAGGGUAGGCUAUGCGUCCCAAGUGGUAGCCUAUGCUUUCACUGACAUUAUGAAUUUGAUAAAGCAUCCAAAUAAGACCAAGUGGAUGGGAAAUAAAAGAUGAUACCUUUUCUCUACCCUUCUCACCACCAGCUGCAUUCACACAUUAUUGGUGUUUCCCCUCUCUAAUGAUGUUUGUGUAAUUAUUUAAGAAAAAGAGUCAGACAGCUUUACUUGUUGAUGAUGUCUGCUUAUGUUUGGAGCAUGUCCUGUAGCUUUCUGAGCUGCAUUUCCCCAAGCAAUGACUAAACUAGUUAUCUUAAAGAGGGCAGCAACUGUACAAAUGUCUCAUUAAGAGCUCUACUUACACUUGACCCGUACCAACCCACUUGGAAGUAAGUGAUAGUAAUUCAGGCUCAUAGAAUAUGCGAAAUAUCAUAUUUUCCUUGAGUUUACUACACUACUAGAAAAUGACACAUGAGCCAUAUGGAAAUAUUUAACUGAGAUAAAGAAGAAUGAGACAAAGGGGAGAUUUUAUUUUAUAGGCCUCCUCAAUCUGGUCAUUUUUUUAAUUCAGGGAGUAUUUACAAUCCCACCUUGCAUCUGAUAUUUGUUUUAUUUUACCACCUUGAGGUCAAAAUGCAUGUGCAUUAAUCCUGUCAUUUGGAUUAUGAAUACUAACGUAAUGCUAUUUGAUCAAUUCAAUAAGGCACAACUGUAACAUUUUACUUUAUUUUUUUACCCUGAGUGCUUUCCCGUUCCUCUUGUGUGUCUGCCAAGACUGUAUUUAUAUGAUAUGUAAUAUUUGAUACGACUGGUUUGUUUCCUUCAUUGCUGACAGACACCAUCUGUUUAGAUAUUGGAAAAAAACCCACCACAAGUUCCUGCUGUUUUAUGAUUUACUCAUCCGCAAGUUGUGCUCCAGACAACUGUUGCAGUCUUUGAGCAUUGUAGACCUUUAGGGGAUACUGUUUAACUGCCUUCAUUACUGGUUUUAUUGCUGGAUUUUCUCGUAUUUUUUGCUGCUGUUGCAAAAAGCUCUCUGGUUUUAACCACUGCGAUACAACUAUACAUCUAUUUGAAGGGGUCUGUUGGGCAAAAGUACAAACUUUAAGGGUAAGUAAAAGAUGAAUUAGUUGCUUGGUUUUGUUUUGGUCUCUGAGCCAAAAUGGUGCACUUGUCUUCAAGAGUCUUUGGCUCCACUUAAGACAGUUGGUGGAUGGAGAGUGGCAGUUAUCAAGAGGUCAGAUGAAUUAUGAAGAAAAGAUUCAACUCCUCUUUAAAUAAGGCAUUAAGGGGUGAUAAAGAAAGGGGACCCAGAACGUGUCCUUGCGGGAUCGAUCAGAUCAACUGAGAUAUCGAUCAAUAUUGUAUCCUUUUAGAGCUUGCAUGCCAAAAAGGGUGUCACUGUGACUGUUCUGCUGCUGUCAGAGUCAUCUUUUGCAAAGCAGAGCAGGUAGAUUGAAUAAAAGUUAAACUGUCGUACCUUUUAGGUUAGGGAUUGGCAGGUAACUCAUGCAACUCCUGAAGAGUGGUGAUGAGGUGUUAAUAUACAAAGUGAAGGAUGAAGCUUGACAGACUUGUGCGAGGUGGAUAAACAGAGUGUCUAGUGUGGAAGCUGAAACCUUGGGGUUAUGAUGCACCAGGUGCUGAGUUUAUAGACACAGAGUUAGGAGCUGUUUGGAGGAUUGUAAAGGAAAGAAAACAGUAGAGGGAGUUGUUGUAAUUGGUAGCAGAAACUGUUUAAAUCAUCUUAAUAUUUCUCUGAUUACUUCACACUCUUCUUUCUCCGCUUGUGAUGGUUAACAUAAAGGCUCUGCCAGGUUACACCGAACUAUACAGCGCUCUGUUGUGUAGUCAUGCCACCGUUAAUCAGACGUGCUCCUCUGCCCACCUACUACACACAUAUGCGCACACUCUGACACAUACACACACUUUGUGCACACUUACUACUGCCACCAUAGCCUUUGAUUCCAGCCGCCACUCACUUUCAAAUGGUAAUGAGAGGCAAUUAGAAGCCAAUGUGUCCUAAUCACAAGCCAUUUAACAGAGCUUGGCUCAUUUGUCAGAGCCAUAUGUGCACAGCAACCCACACACUCAAAACACACAUGAAUACACACAUCUGCUAGAUCAUGCUAGAGUCUUUUUCUUUGUCUUUGGAAUUUGCUGCCCGUGUAAGGAAAAAGAGGAAAACGAGGUCUAAGCGAUCGUUCAUGUGUGUGUGAGUGUGUUUAAGUGAGAUUUCCAGGUAAUGAUUGGGCGGAGGAUUCACAGCUGAAUGAGUAAGUGACAGAAAUGGCUUCAUGGCUCCCACCUGCAAAUACAGACGGAGUGAGUGAUCAGUAGGGGUGCUGGAAUAGUGUUUUAUGUUCCCUGUGUGUAUUUGUUGAGGCAUUAGUUAGGACGGCAGUACUAACUUUCAAUAAUUGACACAGUGCGGACACAGGUUAAUGAGGGCAGACCAGCAAAAGUGCGAUUUAUUCACCCUUCAAAAUCAAAAUGAGCUUUUAGUGCUGUGUGCCUGUUGAUCUUAGCAUGAAACAUCUCCGGUGAAAUUAUAGUAUCUUCGUCGGAGAGCAGUUAAAUCUAGCUGAAUGGAAAUCUGCAAAAUAUUGGUGGUGGUAGGGUAAAGGAUUAAGUAAAAAUGAAGAGAAUAGACAACUAAAAGCACGUGAAAGAUGCCAAAUUGGAAAAUAAUCUGUUCAAAACAACCCCUAUCGUGUCUUAUGUGCAGCCUUGACUUAGCCCUGACUGCAAACCCUUGUACACACACAUAGUGCUUCAAGGAGCCACAACAAAUACAAACACUUGUUAUAAUGACACAAACACACAUCGAAUUACAUGUAGUUGUUGUCAGGAGACAUAACAGGAGAGUAAAAAGCCCAUACACAAACAAAUAUACAGCUACAUAAUAUCAUGGCAGACUGCUGUAACAGUAACUGCUGUAACCUACACAGAAACAGCAACGUAGGUUGUUCUGAAUCAAAGCAGGUCACAACAGAGUGUGUGAAAAAACUGAUUUUAAAAAACAUAAAGAGAGGCGGGUGGGUGGGUGGGAGUGGGGGCAGAUCAAGAGAUUGAACUGUCUGGUUGAACCAUGCAGCUCGCUCAGACCUUUUCAGCUUUUCCUUUCAUCCUCCUCUAUUCAUGAACACACCGAGUGCACGUGCAUGCACACAAGAGAAAGCGCACAGUCACACACACAGAAUAGUGCUUUUAAAGAGGAUCAAUGAGAGGUUUUUUUUUUGUAUUUUGUGUGAAAGAACAUUCCACUGUGUGUGAUCCUGGGUGCCUUUAUUGCUUAUCGUGUGCAGUCUUGUGUUCCUUAGACUGCUGUCUAUAUUGGACGGCAACAGCAAUUCAAUUAAUUCAGCUGAGAUUAAAUGGCUUGCACUUCAAUCUGCACUUCAUCCGCGAAGAGUGAAAACAUGCCAUUGAUAAAAUAUGGGUCAAUGGGUUCAUUUUUUUUAUGGUCUUUUGAAAACAUUGGACCUCGCUAAUGCACUUGUUGAGGACUCAUUAGUCAUUUUUGAGAUGUAUGGUUCAAUUAAAAAAAGUCACCGCUUCUCUGUUUACCACUUUACUGUAGCUGUGGAUCCAUAGCUUAGGUGUGUGUUUGUGUGUGAACCACAGACUGCAUUAGAAAAGUGGAUUAGUCUCCUGAUUUGAAAGAAAAUGUGUAACAUUUUUCUUAUAACCAGCAGGGGGUGACUCCACUGAAAAGAAAUCAGUGGGAAAAUGACCCAUCUGCUUUGUGAAAUCAACUCAGGAAGAAUAUUGCUGAUAUAUUAAUCUUCUCAUCUUUUCUCAUCUUUUAAAAUAAGGAAGUAAAUUUUCCUCGAGUAAAUGAACACAGAUAUGAAGAAGUUAAGACGUAAAUAAGGGCAUGACUACCUGUGAUUCAUAAUUGACCGGUUGCUGUCAUGGCAACCGGUCAAAAAUCCUCAAACAAAUGAGUGAAUCACAUUCUUAUUUCCCUUUUCUUAACUUUUGCUUUUAAAACAGAAAUGCACGUAUACAUUUUCUGUCUCUAGCCUUGUGUGUAUGCUGACCAUCUUUGUUUUGAAGAUGUGCGAUCAAUACCGGUCUUCUCGAUGACUAAGAAAGGGCCACAGUCUGAAUAAAACAGAGACAGAGAAAGGGACUGAGAGAGGACUUAAGCCAUCUUGCAAACUUGUGUCUCACUGUCAGGUCGAUAAGCCACUGCAUGGCUCAAUAACUAUGUGAAAAAAGGGGAGUCUGGCUUUGGGACUUGGGUUGGACGUGUCCUGGCUUUGGUUCUGUAAAGGCUAAACGGCUGCAUGUACCCAAGACAGGGUGCUUCAACAGUCUGGACUGGACUGACCUCUGGGUGUCUAAGUGAUGACAUAACUGCUCUUUUUGGCAAGGAACUAGCUCUCAGGCUACAAAUUUCAGUUCCUGCAUCGAGCGACUCAUCAAUUGGGGUUAAAAUGAUGAGAGAUAUUUCAUCAACUCUCUCUAGAAAGAGAGUUCCUGCUGCCUCGUGUAAGAAAUCAUGCAAUACUUAAUACAGUAUGCUGCUCCUUUGAUCCAUUUGCCUUGAUUUAUAUUUGAUCAAGUCCAAGGAAGCCUGGAUGAGGGGAAAUGGGUUUAAGCACUAGCCUUUGGAGGGCCAAGAUAAAUGAGAGUGAACCUAACCUAGCAAACCCACUCUGACAUGCGAUUAUUUUCUCCAUAUCUUAAGGCCUGUUGUGGUAUUACCAAACCUGGACUUACAGACACAAAGUUUUGGAGUUGCUUCAGUUCAUAACCUCAGUUGGCAUGUUUAGAAGUAAUUUUGACGCUUACGUUAAGGGUUAAUGUAUCAUGGGUCGUUCUGUGAAUUGGAAUCACAGUAGGGUGAGCAAGAUCCUGACGCAAAGCAGAGGCGUUGCCACAGUAACCUCUAACAUACGGCUAUUUCAAGGUGAUAUAUUGAAACCCCUGUGGUGCCUCGGCUGCAGUGUGGUGGCGUAAUUGUAGGGCAAAGUCAUUCCACCUCUGAUUCCUUCUUGGAGAUACAAACACAGGUGUUAUGGGGUAGUGUGUAGGAUCAGAGCCGCAAUGCUAUAAUGCGGCGUAAAACCACACAUAGACACCAAUACGCUUUUUUCAGGAGUGCAAUGCCUUUGUGCAAAGGUGUAGCAAUGGUGGGACUCUGUUUCAGCGCUGUUGCGUAAUUGCUUUGUGCAAGCAUAUAGGAUGCUAAUGGAAACCAGCAUUGAUGCCAUAGUGUCAACAGACAGACGUGAAAUGUGCUGGACUCUUGUCUGCACACCGAUUUGAUAUGAUGUGCAAAUUGUUUACCUUUGCUUCUGAGAAUCAUUUACCAAGUCUUCUUGAGCUCCUCCUGUCUGGUUGGUUAAGAAGUGUAUCACUCUUUGAUAAAUCGUAGGGACUUUUCGGAAAUGUUACACAUCAGCAGUUACAUUUCAAGCUUUUCAGUUGAAAACACUAACCGUAGUCAGGUACAGUUUCCCACAGGGAUUACGUUUCAGCUCUUGCAGACCUUUUGGUAAGUGUCCAGCUACUUAAUAGUCACUUAGACCCCAAGUUAUGUCAAGAUAGGGCCAAGGUUGAAACACACCAGAUUUCCCUUUCAUGGUAUUAUAAGGUGCAGAGUGGCUCUAUGCUCUCUAAGCUAUUGCUCACUUAGUGAGCAGCAUUUGAGAAAGAGAGAAAUCUGGUUUAGCAGCUUAAAAAUCUGUCAUUUUUUUCUCUUAUUUUCUUUUAAUGGUAUGUUUCAAAAACAGUUAUACUUUUACAUUCUCUCAUCCCUCCUUUCCUGCUACCCCAGUCUCCGCUGCCUUAUCCUUAUCGGAGGCAGUAGAGGAUUACAGUGGGGAGUUGACACUGACUGGCAGUCAGACAGCUCCUGCAGACUCCUCUCUUCCCCAUAGAGCUCCAGGCCUGGGACAGGGAUAAGCUGACAACCUGGGACACAGCCAGAUAGAUAGUGAUGAGCAGGAGAGAUGAAAGAAGAAAGCUGGGAAUUGAGGCUAUGUACAUGCAUUCAAGCAGAGAAAUCAUUAUCAUACCUAUCCAGAUAUGAGCAUGAUGUUAACAGAUGGUACAGACUUAACUUUUACCCUCCAUUAGCUUCUGUUGGCAUCGUUGUUGUUGUUUUUUGGCAUAAUCACAUUGUAAUUUACCUUAGUGGCAUUAUUGAAUCAACAGUAACUGGAUACUUCGGCGUAGUUGAUACAUAAUUUUAGACUUUGUCCAGGGAAUUUUUGACAUGAGAUUUGGUGUUGAAACAAUUUAAUUUUACAGCUAAAUCUAAUCUACAAUUACGCGUCAAACAUCUCAAUUGCAUUUGGUCGUCUACCUCUGUUUCUGAGUGUAAGACCUUCUAACUCUAAGCUGUAACGUGAGUGUGUGGUUAUCGAGUGUGUUUUAAGUCUGAGCCAGAAGGAUAUGCAUUGAAAGAGAGGAAUUCAAUAACAGGAAAAUGGCCAGUGAUAGAAACAAUCCCUGGAAUACCAAAACCCACCCUUCACUAGUGUUGUUGUUGGCACCAACUUGCAGUCCAUUACUACUGUUUACUUCGUAGAAAGUCAAUACGCAGCACAUAAAUGCCUCCUUAAAUAGCCCAUUUCAUUGAUGGUUCUUGACUUGGCAUGUGCAUUUAAGACCCCGCUUCGAGGCCGUCUGAUGCAACAUGCCAUUAACAUCUCCCAAUUUCUGACCAUGACUGGGAGUAGGAAAUAUUGGACUUGGAUCUCCGUAUGGGUAGCCACUAAAGAACAGGUUGAAACAAGCCUGUGAAACUCAACCACAGGCAGUAUUUAAACCAGUGUACAUAAGGCUAAAAGUAUUUCCUCUCUGACAGAGCUGUGGUGUGGUUUGAAUGGAGAGAGUUGCUGAAUACGUGGAUGGAUUGGCUUUCUCCAUCUGGCUGGCUGGUAGCUGGGUCUUGGCCAGUUCACCCUUCUCUACUGCCUUGCUGGAUGGCUGCAGAUCAGUCUCAUCUGGCUGGACAUCUGACUGGAUGCUUGGCUGCGGGCUUGCUAGCUGACAAGCUUUCUGGACGCCCCUCUGGCUGACUGAGUUGCUGGCUGCCUGACUGACUGGCUAUUAUUUCUGGCCCGUCCAUUAGCUGUGUAGUAAGCUCAUGACAUUGGAACAGGGACAUUUGGCUUUGACAGUCAGGGAGGUGUGCUAAAACAGUGCUGUGUGAGAUAAGACCUGGUGAGUCAGGAUGUUCCCUGUUGGACUGUGAGCUCCAUGAGUCCAUCACCAAUUACAGCAUUGGGACCUUUUUAGAGAGUGUACUUCCUUAUACCGAUCAUGACUAGAAUCUAUAUUUUAACAAAGUUUUUUCAUGAUCUGAUACCACCUAAUUACACCUUGCAAGCAGCUGGAUCAUUAUGCAUUUUUUGGCUGAGAAGAGGUGACUUAAUUAGAGCUAUAAAUUACACACACAUAUUCCUUGAUAGUCCUAUAAUAACCGCCUUGGCUACAGAUUGUACUGCAGACAAAUAUAGCAGAAAUGUUAUACUGUCCCUACAAAGAAACGCCAUAAUUUCUGUCCUAAAUAAACCUCAUAGGUGUUCCCUGUGCUCAUAGGUUUUCUUUGGUUGAUUUCGUCUCAUGAUAAGCCAGAAUAAAGAUCUAUAAAUGUGUAGAUCUGUGGGGCUUUUUGGUGUGCUUCUUCUGCUUUGGCUUUGCUUUGCUUCCAGUGUGCUCAUUACAGAUAUAAGUUUAGCAAGACCAAGUGAUGAGCUAUGACACAGAUAAAUGAGGUGAAUGUGAGAUUUCAUUGUGGCCCUGCAGGUCUGUUUUCCUCACACUAUCUUUUGCUUUCAGCUGCCACAAUGGGGGAGGUAACUUGGCUUGAAUAAUGGUUUCAAAUGUGCUCUCAAUUAGUAGCAAACUCAUGAUGUAAAGCCCUCCAUGCACACACUGCAGCAGACUUGAAAGAAAGAAAUGCAUCCAUGCUCAAUCUCACAUUUCACAUCCAUCUCAUUCACACUGACAGGCUCUUACACGACUCCCACAGUAUGCAUCCAUUCAUAUCAGAUAUUUGCAUGAACACACAGUACAUAAACAUACACUCGGUGCAGCUGUGUGUAUAUGCUGGUGUACACACCCACUGCGGGGGCUUGCCGAGGGAAAUACCUGCGGUAGAGGAAGAAAGUUGACCUAAUGGGAAAUUACAAGACAUCUGCGCUAGACCAAAACAAUUUCUACAUUCCACAACAUCAAUUGUCUUUACAGGAACUUUAAAAUGUCCCAGAAGUCUGAGCUGCAAACAAAAGAUCAGGUGCUUCUGUAAUCAUUAUCAUGAGAUGGUGGGUAUUGUUGUUGUUGUUUGAUGGUCUGAUAGUCGACUAGAGGAGUGGUUUUAAAUGACUGUGCUUGUAAGUAUAUCUCGGGGUAGAUCGGAGAGCUGCAGGGGGAACUUGUCUUGCAUAAUUACUUACAUCAUUGUUCCAAAUUGAAUAAGACAAAAAGAUUUUUGAUGUUUUUUUUACCUUAUACAUCAAUUUAAUUGUCACUUUAAUUUGAGUAUAAACAAUUAACAACCCCAAAAAGCUGAAUUUUUCACACACAAUAAGAAAUGUAUUCUAUGUCUAAUACUUAACCUCUAAACAAGUAUACAUUCAUAUUGAAAAAUAAACAGGUGUAGUGGUUCAAAUCUUGACUAACUGAUUCUUCCAGAGGUAAGAAAAAACCUUGAAAACAGUCAAAAUUGAGCACAACUAAUCCCACACUGUGAUUUAUUUUAAUUUCCUUGAGGGAACCUUCCCAAAAGGAUAAAUAAAGUUGUAUCUAAUCUAAUCUAUCUACUCUGACUGUGGCUAAUGUUUGCAAGGCCAGCGCCACCAUCUUUCUAUCAACCUUGAAGGUUAACGCGACUGAACACCAUCGAUUAUCUGUGCUUAUUUAUUCCCAUGGAGUAUUAAAACAUGAUAGGACAUUGACAGGGACUAUUAGCCCCAGGCUGGAGGUGGGUGGUUGUGCUAAAACUAACACACAACAUUUGCUCUCCCAAAACUUAAACAGUUACAUUGCACAUCAGUAUUUUAAAAACAUUUUUUAAAUACAACUCACAUUUUAUUAGCAUUUUUUAAACAUAACCGAAACGGGACAUACGAUCAUACAAAGAAAAAUAUUAUUAAAACAAACAAACAAACACAAAGCAUGGUGUUAUUCACAGAGAAGAAAAGAAAAAUUGUCCAUGUAGCCUCCAUCAAAGAUGUCCAUUUUUUAAAGUAAUGUAAAUAGAUUUAUAUUUGUUCCAUCUUUCCCAUUUUUUCUUUCGGGUGUUUGUUUCUUGCUGGAGUUGUAUGUUAGUUUCUCCAUUUCAUAUAGCUAUUCCACCGUGUCCAGACAGUUUUUCUAACUGGGUGGAUUCUCCUUACACCAAUUCCUUAUGAUGGCCUUCUUUGAUGCUGCAAGAAGUAUUUCAGUCAAGUAUCUGUCUUUAGUUUGUAUGUUUUCUUGCGUAAGAUGGCCCAGGUACAUUACCUCGAAGGUCAUGGGGAGCUCAUAAGCUAAUAUUUUUCGUAUUCCUAUGCAUAUUUCCUCCCAUUAGUUAUUUCCUUGUAGCACCAAAAGAUAUAGGUAUGGUCAACAUCCGCACACCAGUAUUUUUCACAUAUAGUUCACGGCACGCCUAAAUUAAUACCUGUUGUAAUGCAGUUAUUGCCUGCCAUUAGAGAAUGGUAAUUUUUUAAGUCUCCUCAUAUGUUUUCACUGACUCUUCUGUACAGCUCUGGGGCGUCUGACAUGUAGUGUCGAUAGCAGGACUUACUGUGGAUCUAAAGGAUGACAAAAACUCACAAUCUUUGGCGAUCCAAAGCGAUGACUUCAACCCCCCUCUGUGGGAUCUUUGUCAUUUUUUUGCUCUGAAAUCACCAAUUUCCAAUCAAUAAGAAAUAUCAACAUUUAGUUUUCAAAAAAUCACUUUUUUCUUCUUUAUAUGCACAUUUGAAUGUUAAAGCGCUCUCUCAAGCUUUCGGAUCUUUGCUCCUCUGAAGUGAUUUAAUUCCUUUAUAUGAAGUGAGAGGACUUGACGUCUUUUGUCAGAUGUUGGUGUUGCUGUAGUGCUCUCCUCUGUUUCCCUCUGAUGGCUUGACCCAUAAACGUCACAAAAAUGGAACCCAGUUUAAAGCAAAAGGUUGAGAGUUUCAGGCCUUUUGUACUAUGCUGCGUGAUGGUUAAUGUGUUUUGAGAGUGUUGAUAUAUUUCCCACAGCACUUGAGGACACCCUGCAUCAACAGACUCUGAAUGAACAUCUACUACGCCGGCUUGUCAGAUGUGUAGUGUUAACCACUAACCUUAAAAAACACGACACAACGCCUCACCUCCUAUCAAAUCUUUCAUCACCAAUUAGCUUCAAAACCAAAAACAUUUGAGGACUUUUUUUGGCUGGAAAAUUUCCCUUCUCCUUCUUCCACUUUCUGCCACACCCUGUCAGAAUGCUUUAACGCCACACAAUGUGCCAUUAGAUCUGCUACAAUCUGCCCCCACACCACCUCUAGCGUGGCUGCGUGAGGUGGAUCGCUGAGUGCAUCUGCAGCCUGACAGGACACGCCACCUAAAACUGUACUCUACAGCUGAAAGGAUGGUUGCGCGGUGGGGAGGGGGAGGGGUACAAAGGUAGUGUAACGCUUUUAGGAGGCCCUUCCUGGAUACCAUUUACACUUCGGUAAAGCUAGAGGACUGGCGUGUGGGUGAGGGUAUGACGAAUUCCUGUGUGUGCAUUUGGGUCAAGGGUGGAGUCAUUCUGAGUGAAGACGGCAUGCAAAAUUCAUGUUGUUUCAGGCCAUCAAACUUGACCCGGCAAAACACACCUGUCAUAACUGCUGUCAGCAACGCAGAGCACAUAGAUGUCCUGCUGAGGCGCUGCAGCUGAAGGUACAACUUAAGUCAUGAACUAAUCGUACAGGCUGGUUUGAUGAGUAGUUUCCAGAGGAUUCAUUUUAUCGAUGCAAUAUUUGCUUGUACAACAAAUUGACUUUCAUAGAAGUGUAGAUGAUGACGCCUGCCUCCUCCCAUUGUUAAGAAGUGAGGCUAAAAUACCUGCUUCAGUGCGUGCUGGUUGUGUACUGUAUUUUGGAGCCAAGUCGUGCAAAGACGUGAGACACCAACCCUCCCUCUGCUAACCAAAACACUCAUCUUACUUGUGAAUAAAACAUUGAAAAUCCCUCAGGAUGUUACAGUCCGCGGCAGAACAGAUUCUCGCGUUGAUCUGAAGCAGACACUCCUGGUUGUAAAAAAGAAAAUGACUCAGUUAGUGUUUGUCAUGUUCACCCUCACUGUCCCUCCUCUACUCCGCUGAUGUGCACGCAAAUCAGCAUGUGAAGAAAAUGAAAAUGUAUUUGACGUGUGUUUACAUUUUCUAGUUUGACCUGUUUUGCAUCUGUUAUAAUGGAGGAGGUGGGAUCGAUCGGUUCUGUUACCUCCCACUGUUCAGGAGAUUCAUGGAAAAUGUAUCAUCAGGGUGUAAAAUCAAUAUACUGCCACUACAGUUCCUGUGCAGAGUCUCAGUAACAAGCAAGUGUUGACACAAACCAAAAGUUCUUGACUGAAGUAUUUAGUAGACUUAAACACGGGGCAGAUUGUGAAGCAUUGACAUUUUUAAAAACUCUGCCUCAUGUUUAUUUCUGUGUUUUUAUGCAGGCAUCAGCUGGUUUUUAACAAUCGGAACCUUUAAUUGGUAAUGUUACAUCAGCUGUAGUCUGUAGCUGUAAACUUAGCCAAAUGAACUCUGGUACGCAGCCCUGUAUUCGGUCUAAGAAGUGGGGAUUUAGACCCAAACCCACUCCAACGAUUGUUUACUCUUACAUGUACGGCUCAUAGUGUCACUUCUGCAGAUAAACGGUGCAUUUUCAACGCUCAUACAAGCUAACACAAGAAAAGAUUUCUGUUGGUAAAACGUGUUCUUGCUGCUUGUUUGGUUGAUGCUCCUAAUGAGGGGGACAAAUAUUGAAAUUAUGUCGAUGUUACAUAACAACCUGUUGUGCUCAGAUUAUGGAAAGCACUUUCUAAAUAAAAGGUUUAUCCAACUGCUUAUGUUGUUAUUAUUGGAAUUGCAUCAUUGUAGUGUAGAAAAUUAAGGUUAAUUAAUGGCAAUUUGAAAUCAUCAGCAUUGACCCAUGUCUGCAUGCGCUCAUGAGGCCAGUGAAGAUAAUAAACAAAUUAUGUCUGCAGACACUGCAGGCAGCGAGCCAGCUGGUGUGAGCAAUGCCAUCAUGCCUUUAAAUGACACAUUUUCUCAUCCUAAAGAAACAAGACCUCUUAGAGACAAGAUAAGCUUUGGCAGAUUUACUCUACAACACUUACUAACAUCUGUUUUAUAUAAUGUAUAAAAUUAUGCAGUUAAAUAUGUCCUCUGAUGUAAAUCUGUCAUGUCUUUAAAUCUGCCACACAGCCUAAAUUAUUUUUUAUGUUUUUAUUUAAUUAGUUUUUAAAGUAUUUAUUAUUUUUAUUGAUCAAUAAUUAUUUAUUAUUAUUUAUUUAUCAAUUGAAUUUUCCUUGGGGGAAAUAAAAUAAAGUUAUUCUUAUUCUUUAUACAAAGUCCAUCUGAAACAUGUCUCUGGCUAUAUGACAACAUUAUAAUGUAGACCACUGACUGACCUAGUCUCAGCAAUGUUGAAUAUCAAUAACAAUCAGCUACAUUUGAUUUGCAAUGUUGUCAUAAUAUUUUUACUUAAGUUACUUUUUUAUAUUUUUUAAACUUUUUUUUGGCUGUCCUGAGAAACAUGUGUGUGUCUGUGAAAAAAUCAGAGCUGAUCCAAACUGAGAUUUGUUGAGUUGUUGCUCAGCUAGCAGUCACCAGGGGUGGCUCUUUAUGGUUUGGCUUCACUUUUGGAGGAGAGUUGUGCUGUCCAUCUUAUACAUUAGGGCUGGGACAAUAUGCUUUUCUCCCGAUUUGAUUCUUCUAUGAUUUUUUGGAUGCCGAUUGUACGAUAUUGUCGAUUUUUUUCAAAUUUUUAGUCCGCAUAUUUAACACCAGUGUGAUUAUGAUUGUCUACUGACUAUUCCAGGAAUCAUAUUACCCCCUCAAAAUUUACAUUACAUGUUAAGUCAGUUUUUCAGAUUUAUUCUAAAAUUUGAAAAGAAAAAAAAACAAAGAAAAAAAAAAUAGUGAUCAAUUUUUUUUCUCCCACCUCUAUCAUCCAGUCUACAUCUUGAUUAUGAUUGGCCUUCUAUUUAACAAAAGUUUUUUAUACUGGAUGUUAUGCAGCACAAAUCUUAUUCAAGUAAAUGAAAAUUUUAUUUUAGAUGGUGAUUUAUUCAUUGAUAAGCAUUCCUUAAAAUCUGAUCCAAACUUUGAAGCAACAUGUUGCAGUUCUUGGCAGUGCAACAGUGCAAGGUCUCUUUUUAGCGAACACUGAUCCGUCGGACACUGAUCUGAGGCUU